AACGAGGCCGACCUGCGGCUGAGUUACCUGCGGAGGGAUCAUUAAUGAUUGACCGAAAGGUCCUAUCUUAACAUCCCUCACCUCUGUGAACCGUUUGACCUCCGGGUCUAACAAACUAUACAAACAUCAGUGUAAUGAACGUCUUGUUAUCUUAACAAAAACAAAACUUUCAACAACGGAUCU
rnacentral:misc_RNA from 1 species